GAAGAAGAACCGGGGAGCUCCCGGCAGGGAGCUGAGAGGGCGCUGGGGCCGCGCCGACCCGAGGAACCUGAUCCGGGUAAUGCCGGCGGAGGGAGAGCUUUGAGAGACACA
rnacentral:ncRNA from 2 species